rnacentral:rRNA from 1 species
UACGGAGGGAGCUAGCGUUGUUCGGAAUUACUGGGCGUAAAGGGCGCGUAGGCGGACAGUUUAGUCAGAGGUGAAAGCCCAGGGCUCAACCUUGGAAUUGCCUUUGAUACUGGCUGUCUUGAGUUCGGGAGAGGUGAGUGGAAUGCCGAGUGUAGAGGUGAAAUUCGUAGAUAUUCGGCGGAACACCAGUGGCGAAGGCGACUCACUGGCCCGAUACUGACGCUGAGGCGCGAAAGCGUGGGGAGCAAACAGG